rnacentral:rRNA from 1 species
GUGGGGAAUAUUGGACAAUGGGCGAAAGCCUGAUCCAGCCAUGCCGCGUGUGUGAAGAAGGUCUUCGGAUUGUAAAGCACUUUAAGUUGGGAGGAAGGGCAGUAAGUUAAUACCUUGCUGUUUUGACGUUACCGACAGAAUAAGCACCGGCUAACUUCGUGCCAGCAGCCGCGGUAAUACGAAGGGUGCACGCGUUAAUCGGAAUUACUGGGCGUAAAGCGCGCGUAGGUGGUUUUGUAAGUUGGAGGUGAAAUCCCCGGGCUCAACCUGGGAACUGCCUCCAAAACUGCAUGACUAGAGUACGGUAGAGGGUAGUGGAAUUUCCUGUGUAGCGGUGAAAUGCGUAGAUAUAGGAAGGAACACCAGUGGCGAAGGCGACUACCUGGACUGAUACUGACACUGAGGUGCGAAAGCGUGGGGAGCAAACAGGAUUAGAUACCCUUGUAGUCC